rnacentral:rRNA from 1 species
AUUGAACGCUGGCGGCAGGCCUAACACAUGCAAGUCGAACGGUAACAGGAAGAAGCUUGCUCUCGGGUGACGAGCGGCGGACGGGUGAGUAAUGUCUGGGAAACUGCCUGAUGGAGGGGGAUAACUACUGGAAACGGUAGCUAAUACCGCAUAAUGUCGCAAGACCAAAGUGGGGGACCUUCGGGCCUCAUGCCAUCAGAUGUGCCCAGAUGGGAUUAGCUAGUAGGUGGGGUAACGGCUCACCUAGGCGACGAUCCCUAGCUGGUCUGAGAGGAUGACCAGCCACACUGGAACUGAGACACGGUCCAGACUCCUACGGGAGGCAGCAGUGGGGAAUAUUGCACAAUGGGCGCAAGCCUGAUGCAGCCAUGCCGCGUGUAUGAAGAAGGCCUUCGGGUUGUAAAGUACUUUCAGCGGGGAGGAAGGCGAUAAGGUUAAUAACCUUGUCGAUUGACGUUACCCGCAGAAGAAGCACCGGCUAACUCCGUGCCAGCCGCCGCAGUAA